rnacentral:rRNA from 1 species
GUGAGGAAUUUUCCGCAAUGGGCGAAAGCCUGACGGAGCAAUGCCGCGUGAAGGAUGAAGGCCUAUGGGUUGUAAACUUCUUUUCUCAGAAAAGAAUUAUGACGGUAUCUGAGGAAUAAGCAUCGGCUAACUCUGUGCCAGCAGCCGCGGUAAGACAGAGGAUGCAAGCGUUAUCCGGAAUGAUUGGGCGUAAAGCGUCUGUAGGUUGUUUAAAAAGUAUUCUGUCAAAGAUUAGGGCUUAACCCUAGAUAGGCAGAAUAAACUUUUAAGCUAGAGUUUGGUAGAGGCAGAGGGAAUUCCCGGUGGAGCGGUGAAAUGCGUAGAUAUCGGGAGGAACACCAAAGGCGAAGGCACUCUGUUGGGCCAAUACUAACACUGAGAGACGAAAGCGAGGGGAGCAAAUGGGAUUAGAAACCCCGGUAGUCC